UGAAAUCUCACCAGGCCCGGACACUGGAAGGAUUGACAGAUUGAUAGCUCUUUCUUGAUUCGGUGCGUGGUGGUGCAUGGCCGUUCUUAGUUGGUUGAGUGAUUUGUCUUGUUAAUUCCGAUAACGAACGAGACCCCAACCUGCUAACUAGCCCUCGGGUCCUGCUUCUGUUGGGCCCGACGGAAUGAUUCGCUUCUUAGAGGGACUCGCGGCGCCUAGCCGCACGAAGGGGGGCGAUAA
rnacentral:rRNA from 1 species